rnacentral:lncRNA from 1 species
CUUAGAUUAUGUGCACAGAUGAUUUAUGAGAAGCACUAGAGCGUAACUUGCGUGCAGAAGGCCGGACGGGUCACAGAGGUGACUCCGGUAGAGUGAUAAUGAUAGAUUUUGAGCUCUAGGUUCAACCGUAAAGGGCUAUUAGAGGGCCUACGGUUGAUUACUUUCUUGCACCUGAUAUGAUUAUGUUGAUGCAUUCAUACCUUAUUACUGUUGAGAUGAUGUGGCAUGGCAUAAUUAAUAUGAGAAAUGUUGAGAUGACAUGGCAUGGCAUGAUUGAUAACGAGAUAAUGUUGAGAUAGUAAAAAUGAAGUUUUGAGAAUAUAUAUGUAUAUUUAUAUUUUACAUUUCUGGGAAAGUAUACAGGUUUUACGGAGAGGGGUUACAACGUUUUGAGAAAUGUUUGGAUUUGGAAAAGAAUUGUUUUACUGACCCACUCAAUUUUGGUUUUUGCGCCCCUCCAGGUUCAGGAAUCACAAAGGUGUGGUGACUACGAGGAAUUCAACGGUGUUCUGACAGAUUGGACAAAAUUAGGACUCACCUUCGGGUGUAUCAAUUUAAAUUGUAUCUUAAAGCUUCCGUACUGUGCAAAUGGUUACGUCACUCUCACGUGACGGCCAGCAUGCCCUCCUUCGGGACGGGGUGUGUCAGUUGGUAUCAGAGCAUGGUUGCAAUCUUGGACAUUUUGAGAAGUUCUAGUGAAUUCUGUCAGAACUACACCGCCUCGUAGCAAACCACGUAGUUAGAGGAACUUAGUCUCCCUGAUUUAGCGGGUUAGGGGAAACUAUUCUUAUGGUGAUUCAGUAUAUUAGAAAAAUGGACAUUUUAAGACGGGUUAUGAGUUGAAUUUGAAUCACUUAAGAGAAAUGAUGAACCUGAGGGAACAAAGUGACGGAUUAACCAAUUGGAAAAGAUGUUUCGGAAUAUGCAAGUCAAAGGAAUCUUCCUUCUGACAAGGGGUCGAGACGACUACCUGGUUUUGGUUAUGAAUUUGUAUCCUGGUGGAAACAGGAGUAUGAAUUGUUGUCACCAGAGGAAUCAGUCGAUUGAGAAUUGUUUAAGGACUUGUUUAAGGAAAAGUUUAUCCCUCCGGCAUUUAUCGAUGGUAGUAAACAAGAGUUUACAAAUAUGAGACAAGGAAGGUGAUGAUCGAGGGAUAUUAUAGAAAGUUUUCAGACUAGCCUCGUUCCAUCCAGAUAUUGUUGUUAAUUUGGUGGAGGUGUUAUGUUGUUUUAAGCUGGGUGACAAAAGGGAAGUGGUAUUUUGGGUGACCACUAUCCAUUGUAGUUCUUAUCAGGAGUAUGCUAGAUGUUGUUGAAUCUUGAGGACUCUGAGAACAUAAGCAACGAGAAUAAAGAAUAAUAAGAAAUGAAUGGGAAUUAAAAGAAGACGAUAAAGUUAAUGAUUCGUCAUAUCAAGGAUAUAGAAAGAUUCAGAGCUUCGAAAGAAGUGAAGCUAGAGUUAAUUCUUCCAGCUGAGGUUUUAAUGUCGCUGGUCAGAAUAAAAGUGAUGGAUAUACUGGUAAUCCCAGAUAUUUGAGACAAGGUGUCUCGAGUAAAGGAAAUGUACCUUGUGCAGCAGGUACAAAAUUAACACUUUGGGAAAUGUGAAAUUAAUGAAUGUGUUUAUGUGAACAGAGGGGACACAGAAUUGUGAAUCGUCCCUAGAAUCAGUUGUACUCAAUAAUUUUCCAUGAUCAUAGUGUCGAUUCAGAAGAGUUAUAAACUUAGUAGUUUGGUCAGAUUGACUGUGAGUACAGAGAGAUUUGAUGAGUUAUAUGUUCAGCCGUACAGGCCACGAGAAGUGGAUUCGAUUGACACAUGCGAAAUUGGUGAGUUAUAGGCUCGGCCGUACCGACCACGCGGAGUGGAUCCGGCCGACGUAUUAUUGAGAUAAGAGUUGAAUCAGUCGUAUUGAUCAUUCUAGUUGACUUCGGCUGAUAUAUUUCUUAUUAUGUAUGUUAUUACCUUGAGAGUAGUAAAUAAAUGUAGUUGAGAUGAGUGUAUGUAUUUUGCAUUGAGUGACAAAAUAGUAAUGUUAUAUCUUUGAGAGUGGUUGCCUACUUAUCGAGACAACGAUGAUUUAUCAGUAUUGCGGGCUGCAGACCGUAAUAUUAAUAACUCAUUCGUGGAUUCGUUAAGCAAGCAAACCGGUAGAUUAUUUUAUGUUAGUAUUGUACUUAUUUGGAAUGCUUAAUAAUAAUAGAAUAUAUAUUGUAUCAGUUAAUUCUGUUCCAUUAGAUUGGUUGGUUAUAAUUGUGACAAGACGAAAUGUUAUGGGAAACCAGUACUUUCCAUCGAUCUGGAUGAACAGAGAUUACUUUUGUAAGUAUGCAAAAUGGAUUGAGUCAGGCUGUUAUUUAUGCUGUGAGAGCAAAGAGAUUGUUUUCGAAAGGCUGUCAAAAAUACUUAGCUCAUGUGGUGCUAAAUGAUGUUGUUUGGAGUAGUGUGAAUAAUGUCGAAAGAGUUAGACUUUUCUUGAUGUCUUCCUUGAAAGUAUACCUGGAUUGCCUUCAGGCAGAGAUAUGAGGUUCAUUAUUGAUUUGUUGCCAGGUAUAAAUUUAUAUUGGAGAUUGGUUCAGGAUGAGUUAAGGGAAUUGGAAAUUCAGUUGAGAGAAUUGGUUGAUAAAAGUUUUAUUCAACCUAGUACAACACUUUUGAGGAGCCCAGUUUGUUGGUGAGGAAGAAAAAUGGAUCUUGAGACUGUUCAUUGAUUAUAGACAAUGGAGUCGGGUAACGAUUGAGAACCGUUAUCCAUGGUGAUGUACUGAUGUUUAUUUAACCAGCUCAGAAGUAAUUGCGAAGAUUCAAAGAUUGAAUUGAGAUCUGGUUACUACCAAUUGAAUAUUAUAAGUGACAUUGAUCAUAAGAUGGUUUUCUGGACUCGUUAUAGUCUUUAUGAAGUUUGGUGAUGCUAUAUGGAUACUCAUGCUGUUUUAUGAGUUAUUGGAUGAAGUAUUCCAAUAAUGCCUUGAUAAAUAGAUAUCAUUUUCAUUGAAGAUAUUCUGGUAUACUCUAAGCCUAGAGCAGAGCAUGUAAACGUAUUAAGUCGGUGAAGCAAAGAUUAAGAGAACGUUGGUUGUAUGCUAAGUUUAGCAAAUGCGAAUGUUGGAUGAAUCAAGUGGCAUUCUGAGAUUGGUUAUAUCUGCUUAAGGUAUUCAAAUGAAUUCUUAAAAGGCAGCAGAAUUGAGAAAUUGGAACAACCACAAGCCAUAAUUGAGAUUCGGAAAUUCUUAACUUAUCAGGCUAUUUUGGAUGGUUGUGAAAGAAUUUUUAGUCAUUGUUUUGUCAUUGAUGAGACUGUUGAGAAAGGAGGUUAUGUAUGAGUGGGAAGGAAAUUGUGAGCAAAGGAUUCAACAACUGAAGUAUUUCCUCACUCAUGCACGUAUUUUAGUAAUCCCAGAGAAUAAUGGUAAUCAUAAAUUUUUAGUGAUGUUUCUUGAAUGGUAUUGGAUGCAUGUUGAUGCAAAUGUUAGGGUGAUUGCAUACGUUUCACGAUAAAUGGAAUCUCAUGAGAUGAAUUACCCUACGGGUGACUUGGAAGUCAUGAUUACCAUUCUUGCUGUGAAGUUAUGAAGGCAUUAUAUUUAGUAAGAAUGCAAGAUUUUUACGAAUCCAAAAAGUCUUCAAUAUCCAUUACUUGGAAGGAUUUUGAUAUGAGGCAGCGAAAGUGAAUUGUAUUGCUUAAUGAACAUGAUUGUACGAUCAGGGUGAUCGUAAAGUUUGUUCUAGCUCAAGCACUUGGCGAGAAGACUACAGUAAGAUUAAUGUCUGGCACGUUUGCCAAGAUUAUCUUCUUGUGGAUUGGAAAACCAACUAAAGUAAAGUUAAGAAUGGAAGAUCGAGAAGAAGUUAUACUUGUUAAGUAACAAGUUAGUACAUUUACUCCAGUGUUGAGUAACAACCUUUCCCAGACAGUGCAACAUUACUAAUUUGUUUUAUGGAAAAGAGAAUUGGAUUACGGAACUGCUAAGUUUCUUAAGUAUGUUGGUUGUGCAGUUUCCGAAGUAACGCCAUAAGGACCAUGAAAUGUGUCACGUGAGUCGGUUUUUGAUGACUUGUGAAUGGAAUGUUUCUGGGUAGAGAAAGAUUCGAUCAAGAAAGAGUUUUAGUAGACCCUGAGACUAUGGAUGAGUCUCCUCAAAGUAUUCAGGUGAUUAAGUUAACCUGAAGUAACCAGGAAUGGCAAAAGAGAUCAACAGAUGGAUAUGCCACUAAUCGAGUGUGUAAGGUAAAUGGUUUGAUAUUUUUGGAAAAUUCACCGCGAACAGAAAUGACGAGAAUUGGAAAAGAGACAAGAUAAGAUUUAGACACAUCAGACCAUUUUUUUUUUUCACUAAAGGAAUCAAUAAAGUUGCAUACAAGUUUGUGAUGCCUUCAGAAUUGGCUAAGGCACAUAAUGUAUUUUGUGUUCGAUGCGUUGUCACUAAGUGGCAGAGUCGUUACAUGGGACUUUGGUGCAACUAUUGAGAAUUAAGCCGGAUCUGAUUGGUGAGGAACUAAUGUCGACUUUGGAUUGGAAAAAGAAGGUCCUAAGAAUUAAGACAGAGUAAGUAGUAAAAGAUUUGUGAAGGAAAUCAUUCAGUAGAAAAGUAUGUGGGAGAAAGAGAAUCGGAUGAGAAAGAUUUACCCGAAGCUAUUGUUGGAGUGUAGAUGAUUUAGUUGGUUGCUGGAAUUUCGGGGACGAAAUUCUAUAAGGAGGGGAGAUUGUCACAGCCCGUCCCGGAAUUUUUAAUUCCGAGGACGUGAAAUUACAAAACGCCCUUAAACGGGAUUAAGGUACGUAAUUUUGGUGUUUGUUUUACCUAAAAUUUCUAAGCUAUUGUUGUGUUGGACUUUAGGUAGGGUCCUAUACCCUAAUUUCCUCCCCAUUUUCCGUAACCUUUCCUUCUCUCUCUUCUUCUUCCAUUUCAGAUUUUCACUCUCUCUCUCUUACUCUCUAACAUACGGACUCACACACAAACCACAAUCAAAUCUCCACGAACGUCCAAGUUAAGACCACAUUUGGACUCCUGGAACUUCCACGAUCACGUAGACAUCAAUUUCAGGUAAGUUCUACUUCGGAAAACCCUAGUUUUCAAAGUACCCGUGAAAUGGCACUGUUCAUAAACUCUUAAAUGGUGGUGUUUUAGCUUAAAACAAGAUCACAGCGAGCUUAGUGAGGUCCCAAGGAAGCUCGGAGUGCUUCGUUGGAAGUUUUUGGACGUAAGAACACGGAGAUCGACAAGUUCAAAGUUUAGCCGGAGCUUUCGAGGCGUUUUCCGGCGAAUCCCCGGCGAGUUAGGAGUCGAGGUAGGUAUCAAUCUCUUCUUCUCGUCAAGUAAUACAACUUUCCUUUUUGUUUCACUCAAUUUCGUUGAGUAUUGAAGAAGUUAUACUCAUUUGAAAAAAUACCCAGUUUCCGGCGACCUCCGAGGCUUUCGAGGCAGUUUCCGGCCAAACCACGGCGAACUAGGUGUUGUGCAAGGUACCAUUCUCUUUGUCUCUUCAAGGGCUACAACUUUCGUUUUUGAAUCACUUGAUUUCGUUGAGAAAUGACAAAGUUAUGGCAAUUUGAAAAACUGCCCAGAAAACGGCCGCCGGAAAAAACCAGUCCGGCGACCCAAGGAAGAAGAAGGUGCUACAGUAAAAAUAAAAAAUAAAAAUAAAAUUAUUUUAAAAAUAUGUCGACGUCCGUGACGUCGAGUAGAUCACUGUGAUAUAUUCAUAUACCUAAAUUGAACACCGUAUGAGAAAGUUAUUGAAGAUUGUUGGUUAGGUGUUCAAAUAACGUUUUAUAGUUUUCACAUUUAGGUGAAAAUGUGAAUUGAUGAUCCGACCGUUGGAUCGUCACCAAACUUUGAUACGUUGUAAUACGUAAUAUUUGAGGAUUAUUGGAACUUACGGAUUGGGAAUCCGAGUUACGGAUCUUCCGGAAUUGGAAUUGUAAGUCCAUAAUAUAAAAUGUUAACCGUCACUUAGUUUUGGAAAUUGACGGAGAUCCGACCGUUGGAUGGUAAUGAAAUUUUAGGAUGUUGUCCUAGAGGUAUAAUGUGGACCUCUGGAAGUUAUGAAUUUAAAAUCUGAGUGGCAGAUCUUCCGGAUCGAACUACGUAGUGACGUAUUUUAUAUAAGUUAAAUAUUCUAUCGAUAUGAAUUCUGAGGUUGGAUUUGAUUACUAUUCUAGGCGGCGAUCGUCGUGACGCCUUGAUGUGUGGUGCUAGGGAGUUGUUGGACGAACUCCAGGUGAGUGGGCAGUUUUGUUUUCCGUAUAUAUAUAUACUUGACGUUUCCCAGAAAUUGAAUUGAAAUGAAAAUAUGUUUAAAAUGAAAUGCAUAUGAGUUAUGUGGAAAAACGGGAAGUGAAAUACCAUGCAUAGAAUUGAUAUGAAAAGUAUAUAGAAAUGUGAGUUGAAAUGCCAUGCAUGAAUUAAUAUAUGAUGCAUAUGUAUGAAUUGGUGCGGUGGACGCACAUGUAAGAAUUGAUUUAUGAUGCAUAUGUAUGAAAUGGUGCGGUGGACGCACAGGUGAGUAUCAGGUGAUUAUUUAAAUACUGUUAUGAUGAUGUUGAUAUAUAUUGAGCUCAAAUCCUGCACCAUGGUUUAGUGCUUAUAGUAUUCACCGCAUCGCACGCUCGCCUUGGAUCCAAGUAGAUGCUAGUCGUACAGUCCACGCGGAGUGGGUACGACAGACCAGUCGCGAGAGUGUUAGUGAGAUUCCGACUGGUGGGUGACCUUAGAUUAUGUGCACAGAUGAUUUAUGAGAAGCACUAGAGCGUAACUUGCGUGCAGAAGGCCGGACGGGUCACAGAGGUGACUCCGGUAGAGUGAUAAUGAUAGAUUUUGAGCUCUAGGUUCAACCGUAAAGGGCUAUUAGAGGGCCUACGGUUGAUUACUUUCUUGCACCUGAUAUGAUUAUGUUGAUGCAUUCAUACCUUAUUACUGUUGAGAUGAUGUGGCAUGGCAUAAUUAAUAUGAGAAAUGUUGAGAUGACAUGGCAUGGCAUGAUUGAUAACGAGAUAAUGUUGAGAUAGUAAAAAUGAAGUUUUGAGAAUAUAUAUGUAUAUUUAUAUUUUACAUUUCUGGGAAAGUAUACAGGUUUUACGGAGAGGGGUUACAACGUUUUGAGAAAUGUUUGGAUUUGGAAAAGAAUUGUUUUACUGACCCACUCAAUUUUGGUUUUGCGCCCCUCCAGGUUCAGGAAUCACAAAGGUGUGGUGACUACGAGGAAUUCAACGGUG